UCGCAUGGAGAAGUCUGACGGAGCACGCCGCGUGAGUGAAGAAGGUUCUUGGAUCGUAAAGCUCUGUCUUCAGGGACGAAUGUUAUCUUUGUGAAUAAUGGAGGUAAAUGACGGUACCUGAGGAGGAAGCCACGGCUAACUACGUGCCAGCAGCCGCGGUAAU
rnacentral:rRNA from 1 species